GGUCCACCUGUACAUACACGUCCCAGAGCGAGAGACCGCGGUCAUUACAAACCUGGAAGGGCAUUAGCAAAGCCUACAGGGAACCGGAAACCAGCAGCAGACACAAUGACAUGAGAUUAGUAAUGAGUGAAGCCCUUAAACGUGACGUCGACGCGACAGAAACCAGCCGUGCCCUUCCCAGCUUUCACAGGAACAUGAUGAAAGCAAGAGUGAAAUGGCUCAGGUGAACUUCCUCAGUAUCUGAGAUCACACUUCACAGAAGUUACGUUGCCAGGUGUGACAUCAGCACAGACCAAACAAACGCCGAGCUUUAGGGAGGGUCAGAUUCCAUCUGCACCUGCGGAGCUUCACCUGUUUGACAAUCUCUGGACUUUAACACUCGGGAUCUACGACGGACUCUGUACUGCAGAAGCAGAGCUCAAAAACAAGACAGAACUGCAAAGAUCUCUUGGGUUACGAAACACCUCUAACGUUAGCUGGCUUCAGACCUCAGAUGUUCAGAUGUGGGCGUGAAACACCUGCACACCUUUCCAGAACCAAGCUUUCUGCCACCAGCUGACGCUCAUCCCUUGCUGU
rnacentral:lncRNA from 1 species